AUUGAACGCUGGCGGCAGGCCUAACACAUGCAAGUCGAACGAGCGGUGGACGGGUGAGUAAUGUCUGGGAAUCUGCCCGAUGGAGGGGGAUAACUACUGGAAACGGUUGCUAAUACCGCAUACUAUCAGAUGUGCCCAUAUGGGAUUAGCUAGUUGGUGGGGUAACGGCUCACCAAGGCGACGAUCCCUAGCUGGUCUGAGAGGAUGAUCAGCCACACUGGGACUGAGACACGGCCCAGACUCCGACGGGAGGCAGCAGUGGGGAAUAUUGCACAAUGGGCGCAAGCCUGAUGCAGCCAUGCCGCGUGUAUGAAGAAGGCCUUAGGGUUGUAAAGUACUUUCAGCGGGGAGGCGUUACCCGCAGAAGAAGCACCGGCUAACUCCGUGCCAGCAGCCGCGGUAAGUC
rnacentral:rRNA from 1 species